rnacentral:RNase_P_RNA from 4 species
GCGGAUGGCUGGAUGACCGCGGGCCGGAAGGUUCGAGGAAAGUCCGGACUCCAUGAAGGAAGGGUGCCGGGUAACGCCCGGCGGGGGUAACCCCAGGGAAAGCGCCACAGAGAAGAGUCUGCCAUGGUGCCGUGCAAACCCCGCAAGGGACGUCCGGCGUAUCCAUGGUCAGGGUGAAACGGUGGGGUAAGAGCCCACCGCAGGACUGGCAACAGGACUGGCACGGCAAGCCCCACCCGGAGCAAUGCCGAAUAGGGACCCCGCGUGGUAAGGUCUGCUUCGGCAGAGACCACCACAGGGACACUUCAGCCCAGGGGUCCGGGUUGGCAGCUUGACCGCUCUGGUAACAGAUGCGGCAGAGGAAUGGUCAUCCAGAGGCGAAAGCCUUGGACAAAAUCCGGCUUAUAGGCCGUCCGCGCAC